UCAAAAUGGGAUAACACUUGGAAACAGGUGCUAAUACCGUAUAACAAUCGAAACCGCAAGGUUUUGAUUUGAAAGGCGCUUUCGGGUGUCGCUGAUGGAUGGACCCGCGGUGCAUUAGCUAGUUGGUGAGGUAACGGCUCACCAAGGCCACGAUGCAUAGCCGACCUGAGAGGGUGAUCGGCCACAUUGGGACUGAGACACGGCCCAAACUCCUACGGGAGGCAGCAGUAGGGAAUCUUCGGCAAUGGACGAAAGUCUGACCGAGCAACGCCGCGUGAGUGAAGAAGGUUUUCGGAUCGUAAAACUCUGUUGUUAGAGAAGAACAAGGAUGAGAGUAACUGUUCAUCCCUUGACGGUAUCUAACCAGAAAGCCACGGCUAACUACGUGCCAGCAGCCGCGGUAAUACGUAGGUGGCAAGCGUUGUCCGGAUUUAUUGGGCGUAAAGCGAGCGCAGGCGGUUUCUUAAGUCUGAUGUGAAAGCCCCCGGCUCAACCGGGGAGGGUCAUUGGAAACUGGGAGACUUGAGUGCAGAAGAGGAGAGUGGAAUUCCAUGUGUAGCGGUGAAAUGCGUAGAUAUAUGGAGGAACACCAGUGGCGAAGGCGGCUCUCUGGUCUGUAACUGACGCUGAGGCUCGAAAGCGUGGGGAGCAAACAGGAUUAGAUACCCUGGUAGUCCACGCCGUAAACGAUGAGUGCUAAGUGUUGGAGGGUUUCCGCCCUUCAGUGCUGCAGCUAACGCAUUAAGCACUCCGCCUGGGGAGUACGACCGCAAGGUUGAAACUCAAAGGAAUUGACGGGGGCCCGCACAAGCGGUGGAGCAUGUGGUUUAAUUCGAAGCAACGCGAAGAACCUUACCAGGUCUUGACAUCCUUUGACCACUCUAGAGAUAGAGCUUCCCCUUCGGGGGCAAAGUGACAGGUGGUGCAUGGUUGUCGUCAGCUCGUGUCGUGAGAUGUUGGGUUAAGUCCCGCAACGAGCGCAACCCUUAUUGUUAGUUGCCAUCAUUCAGUUGGGCACUCUAACAAGACUGCCGGUGACAAACCGGA
rnacentral:rRNA from 1 species